rnacentral:rRNA from 1 species
CCCAGACUCCUACGGGAGGCAGCAGUGGGGAAUAUUGCACAAUGGGGGGAACCCUGAUGCAGCGACGCCGCGUGAGUGAAGAAGUAUUUCGGUAUGUAAAGCUCUAUCAGCAGGGAAGAAAAUGACGGUACCUGACUAAGAAGCCCCGGCUAACUACGUGCCAGCAGCCGCGGUAAUACGUAGGGGGCAAGCGUUAUCCGGAUUUACUGGGUGUAAAGGGAGCGCAGACGGCUGUGCAAGUCUGGAGUGAAAGGCGGGGGCCCAACCCCCGGACUGCUGUGGAAACUGUAAAGCUGGAGUGCAGGAGAGGUAAGCGGAAUUCCUAGUGUAGCGGUGAAAUGCGUAGAUAUUAGGAGGAACACCAGUGGCGAAGGCGGCUUACUGGACUGCAACUGACGUUGAGGCUCGAAAGCGUGGGGAGCAAACAGGAUUAGAUACCCUCGUA